rnacentral:lncRNA from 1 species
AGAUUUCUCACCCUCUGAAAAUCCUGCUUGUGCUGCUGCUUUAUUUAACUGGUUUCUCAGGUCCCUACCAUAACUUCCUGAUUUGCUGUGGAAGGAUUGCUAUCACAGCUCAUCUGCACUGUCAAAUAAAGAGCUGUUGAACAUGUUCACUGAAGAAAGCCCCCAGGCAACUGUAACUUCCUCAGCUGGCAUUUAUUUGGCAGAAAAAUCAAGGCCUCAGUGAAUUUACCACUGCUUCAGGAAGCAUCCACCCACAAUAUCGCUCUGCCUGAACUCAACCCUCCGAGGUGCUGAGCUCCUUCAAUUCCUCUUGAAGUCAGUGUUGAGGUGCUGGGCUAACAAGGUUGAGGCCAUAGCUCAGCACAUCUACAGUCGUGGUUGUGACCUGCAGAUCUGCGUCUCAGGGUCUGCUGCUGGCUGAUGUGACAGCAUGAAAUACAGCGAUGAAAAUUCAGAGAGGAUGCCUAUGUGAGAAAGCUGGAGCUAUCUCAGGUACCAGCUGAUGUGGUGGCUACAUCACUUGUGGGACCCAAGAUCAAGAUAAGUAAAAGGAGGCCAAAGGCACAGCAAGAAAUUCUGGAAUUUGAAUCUCUCCUUCCAACAAAGGCACCAGAUGAGGGAGCUGCUGCUAUGGUAGAUGACUACUAAGAGCUCAGUAAGUAUAU